CUGAACUGCAGGUGUGUCCACCGGACCAGAGCUGGUUCCCAUGGGAACUUGUACGAAGACAAUGGACGGCUGGACAGCCUGUGCUUACCUGCGGCCAGGCCCAGACCUGCUUGUCCCAGACCUGCCUGAUCUGAAUGGUUGCACCUGAUUCCCAGAGCAACGGGGCUCCUCACAAUGACUCUUGGGUGCUCCCCCCACGUUGGCCAGGUGCCCCCCACUUUUGCCUGUGUUGGCCAGGUGCCCCCAGCUUCUGAAAUGGCUAUAAAACCUUCCCCCUGUGACUCACACUUCGAGAUCUCCCCACGGACAAAAGACGGAUCCAUUGGCCAGACGCCACGCCACGAGGACGUCGCUCUGCCGUUGGAAUCUGUAGGACAGUCUUCAUGGCAUAGAAUUUUGGUAGUAGUUCUAUCAGAAAAUGUGAGUGAAAUGGCAAACUGUGGGACACUUAAUAUUCAUGCAGAAAUAGUAUUGAGCGAAACACUAUGGAAAACCUUCUAAUUCUGAAAUUCUAGACUUGCUCAACACCAUCAAAGCAAAGAAUAAUUCACAAGAUUCAGUUAUUCCACAUCUACUUCAAACAACUUGAUGAAAAAGAAAUUUGGAAUCAACCUCAGCAAAAAUACGUACAGGAAAAUUGAUAUGAUUACUUUUUGAGAUCUGAAUUUGAAAUAGAAGAAAAAAUAUAAACUUAAAUUUCUAAGGAAAGGAAAAAACUCCACCUUUGCUGUCUUUAUACUGGUCGGUAAGAAAUUUUGUUGUUUCUACACUACAAAGACACAUGUUGAAUUGUAAGAUUUUCUCAUUGUCAGCUUAUGAAUUUCCAACUAUAUAUAGUUGGAAGAUCUGUAUAGGUCAGCAUAUCUAAAUAUACUAUACAAUACAAUUUUGGAGUAAGUUAUUUUUGUUUAAGUCAAAGUGGAGAACUAUACAAAUGGCUAUAAAUAGAUAGAUAUUGAUCCAUUGCUCUGUACGCUAUAAAAAUAAUGAAAACCAGUACUUUAAUUCCUCAUAUUGUAGCCUGUGACAGUGUUUUACAGUCAGAAAUAUUGAUCUGAAUAUGAAAAUAUUCAGUAAAAUCAGUUCACAUUUUUCCACUUAUUUUCCAACUUUAUUGUAAUAUUCUGCAUCUUUAUCCCUACAGGUACCUCUCUUAUUGUUGUCAUGACAAUGAUGUGUUUCAAUACAGCAAUUAUAGAAUUAAACCUAUACACUGCUUUAUUAAUCAUUUGUUCCAUAUUGUUAACACAGACUUGUGAAAUGGAAAUUAAAUAGAAAAACAAUUAACAAAUGUAUCUUUUAAUGUCAUGGUUUAACAUAGCUUGGCUUUUAGUUAAAGAGAAAAAUCAUCAGUUGUGGAAGAAAUUCUCUGCGAGGACUGCUAACAGCUACCUUUGGACCCAACAGCUGGCUAGUUUGAAUAUUGACAACCGACUGAACCACUAAGAAAGCUAAACACGCCUCUCUGAAGACACAUAUAAAAACAAACAAAUUGCAGAGAGGAAUCUCUCUCUUGCUUUCUCUGGCUGCUGCUCGGCAGGGAUCACAUGGCCAUCCACAGGCCCAGGAAAAAUAUUAAUUCUUUUACUAAACAGAUGAAACUUGCAAACAUCAAUCCUCUCUCGAGUGAGAGAAAAGGGUGAAGACACGUAGAGAAACAACAUGAAGACACCAGGGUCAGCAAAGAAGGAGUCAAAUCCCAGAUGGGAGGAGAAUGAGGAGAUGCCUUUAGGAUUGUGCUGAAAUUUUUUUUUUGCAAGGUGAUGGUGAUGGACUCUAAUACCCUGAAAUAUCCCUGUAAUUCAUGAAUAAACAUGGGGGGGUAGAGUGUUCAAACUGUAGACAAGGCCAAAGGCAUCCAUGCUGAAGCAAGCAAAUGCUGAAGUAGCUGUGAUCCAAAUGAAAAGCUUAAACAGAGAGAUACAAAAGUGAUGAAGACCCUUUGCUCCCAGGGAAGAAGAAAACCUCUGUUCCCAGAGAUGAAAAUGAUCUCAGAGAUAGAUAAAGAGAAUCAUUUCUUUUGAACAGCUCAUCCUUAAAAUAGUACCCCAUAAGCUGACAUGGCUCAUGAAGGCAGCUGUGGGAAGGCUGAAAGGCAUGGGAAGAACUUUCACACUGCAAAUAGAUUUUCUUUUCCAAGGCAGCUGAUUUGCUGGGACAUUGAAGCCACAAAAUAAUUUUUUCUUGUGGAGAAGUCUCCAUGGCAUGGCAAGAGAGACUCCUCUCCCUAAACGAACUGAUGAAAGACUAUUUUAGAGGUGGUAAAGAGACUGAAAGUUCUAGAUUUUGUCUAUAUUGUCAGUGGGAAAGAAAAGAGAGUGUAGGGGGAGAAGUAUUCUGAAGGUUUAUUCUGAUUUCUUCUUAUUUUUCUUUUAAUUCUGUUAAUAAAGUUUUCGUUAUACCCUUUAAAGUUUAUGCCUGCUUUGCUGUCCUAUUAAUCUUUGUCUCACAGAAGAAAAAGAGUAAAUAAUUCUAGUGGGUGUGUUGGCACUUGACCAACACUAAUCCCACUAUAUUUAAUUGGUGCAUUGGCCGGGAAACUCAGAUUGGCAAACCAAAACCAUGACACUUAAUUAGUGUUUCUGCCUGGUUUUGAACAAAACUGCCACAAUGGUAUAAACAGCAUUCAUAGUUCUCAGAUUUUAUGGAAAAAAUAUGCUACUGUAAGCUG